CACUUCUAAGGAAGGCAGCAGGCGCGCAAAUUACCCAAUCCUGACUCAGGGAGGUAGUGACAAGAAAUAACAAUAAACCGGCUUAUGCCGGUUUAAUUGGAAUGAGUACAAUUUAAACAUCUUAACGAGGAACAAUUGGAGGGCAAGUCUGGUGCCAGCAGCCGCGGUAAUUCCAGCUCCAAUAGCGUAUACUAAAGUUGUUGCAGUUAAAAAGCUCGUAGUUGGAUUUCUGUGGGGACGGAGCGGCCGGCCGCAACUCGCGGUUCGAGCUAGCGCUUUCCCUACAUCCUGCCGCGAACCGUGCUACCAUUAAUUUGGUGGCGCCGGGGAUCGGCUCGAUUACUUUGAGAAAAAUAGAGUGUUCAAAGCAGGCCACAUGCCUUGAAUAAGUUAGCAUGGAAUAAUAACUAAGGACUUCGGUUCUAUUUUGUUGGUGUUCGGGACUGAAGUAAUAAUUGAUAGGGACAGUUGGGGCGGUCUGUAUUCCAAAGCGAGAGGUGAAAUUCUUAGACCUUCGGAAGACAAACAGCUGCGAAAGCGUUCCGCAAGGAUGUUCCCUUUGAUCAAGAACGAAAGUUGGGGGAUCGAAGACGAUCAGAUACCGUCGUAGUCUCAACUAUAAACUAUACCAGCUAGGGAUCGGCCAACGUUAUUUUAUACCGACUUGGUCGGCACCUUAUGAGAAAUCAAAGCAUCUGGGUUCCGGGGGGAGUAUGGUCGCAAGGGCUGAAACUUAAAGGAAUUGACGGAAGGGCACCACCAGCCGUGGAGCCUGUGGCUUAAUUUGACUCAACACGGGAAAACUUACCAGGUCCAGACAUAGUAAGGAUUGACAGAUUGAUAGCUCUUUCUUGAUUCUGUGGGUGGUGGUGCAUGGCCGUUCUUAGUUGGUGGAGUGAUUUGUCUGGUUAAUUCCGUUAACGAACGAGACCCCAGCCUGCUAAAUAGCGCGCGUGAGCUUUGCUCGCGGCGAGCUUCUUAGAGGGACUAUGAUGCGCGAUAGCACAUGGAAGUUUGGGGCAAUAACAGGUCUGUGAUGCCCUUAGAUGUUGUGGGCCGCACACGGGCUACACUGGCGCCUGCAACGAGCAUAUCAGCUGGCCCGAGAGGGUCUUGGCUAAUCUUUUGAACCGGCGCCGUGCUUGGGAUUGACCUUUGCAAUUGUUGGUCAUGCAACGAGGAAUGCCUUGUAAACGCGAGUCAUCAGCUCGCAUUGAAUACGUCCCUGCCCUUUGUACACACCGCCCGUCGCUCCUACCGAUGAAUGUUCCGAUGAAAUUUUCGGAGAGUGCCUGUGAACUUGGCUCUGCCUUGCGAACGGGAAGCUCAAAGUCACUUAAAUCUGAACAUUUCG
rnacentral:rRNA from 1 species